GACGUAGGGCGCAAGCGUUGUCCGGAUUUAUUGGGCGUAAAGAGCUCGUAGGCGGCUUGUCGCGUCGACUGUGAAACACCACGACUCGACCGUGGGACUGCAGUCGAUACGGGCAGGCUAGAGUUCGGUAGGGGAGACUGGAAUUCCUGGUGUAGCGGUGGAAUGCGCAGAUAUCAGGAGGAACACCAAUGGCGAAGGCAGAUCUCUGGGCCGUAACUGACGCUGAGGAGCGAAAGCAUGGGGAGCGAACAGG
rnacentral:rRNA from 1 species